rnacentral:rRNA from 1 species
AUUGAACGCUGGCGGCAUGCCUUACACAUGCAAGUCGAACGGUAACAGGUUAAGCUGACGAGUGGCGAACGGGUGAGUAAUACAUCGGAACGUGCCCAGUAGUGGGGGAUAGCCCGGCGAAAGCCGGAUUAAUACCGCAUACGACCUAAGGGUGAAAGGGGGGGAUCUCAAGACCUCUCGCUAUUGGAGCGGCCGAUGUCAGAUUAGCUAGUUGGUGGGGUAAAAGCUCACCAAGGCGACGAUCUGUAGCUGGUCUGAGAGGACGACCAGCCACACUGGGACUGAGACACGGCCCAGACUCCUACGGGAGGCAGCAGUGGGGAAUUUUGGACAAUGGGCGCAAGCCUGAUCCAGCCAUGCCGCGUGCGGGAAGAAGGCCUUCGGGUUGUAAACCGCUUUUGUCAGGGAAGAAAUCCUUUGGGUUAAUACCUCGGGGGGAUGACGGUACCUGAAGAAUAAGCACCGGCUAACUACGUG